rnacentral:rRNA from 1 species
UCCAGACUCCUACGGGAGGCAGCAGUGGGGAAUAUUGCGCAAUGGGGGAAACCCUGAUGCAGCGACGCCGCGUGAGUGAAGAAGUAAUUCGUUAUGUAAAGCUCUAUCAGCAGGGAAGAACGGUCACUGUGCUAAUCAGCAGUGAAUUGACGGUACCUGCAAAGGAAGCACCGGCUAACUCCGUGCCAGCAGCCGCGGUAAUACGGAGGGUGCGAGCGUUAAUCGGAAUUACUGGGCGUAAAGCGCUCGUAGGCGGUAUGUCAAGUCAAGGGUGAAAUCCCCGCGCUCAACGUGGGAACUGCCUUUGAAACUGGCAAACUGGAGUGUGUGAGAGGAUAGUGGAAUUCCAGGUGUAGGAGUGGAAUCCGUAGAUAUCUGGAGGAACAUCAGUGGCGAAGGCGACUAUCUGGCACAUAACUGACGCUGAGGAGCGAAAGCGUGGGUAGCAAACAGGAUUAGAUACCCCGGUACA